rnacentral:tRNA from 1 species
GGGCCGAUGGUCUAAUGGCAUGACGCAGCUUCGGCGAAGCUGAGAUUGGGGGUUCGAAUUCAAAAAUAUUUGGGUUAGAUUAAAAAAUAGAAAGAAGAAAAUCCCCCUCGGUCCA